rnacentral:rRNA from 1 species
GCUCAGGAUGAACGCUAGUAGUAUGCUUAACACAUGCAAGUCGAACGGAAACAUAAUUUUCGUGGCGAACGGGUGAGUAUAUGCAGAAUUUUCCCUUUUAGUUCAGUACAAAUAUUUUCUUCGGAUAAUCAAAUACUGAAUAAAUUUUUAAAGGUUGUUUAAUUUUAAACAUUCCGCUAAAAGAUAAGUCUGCUUAAGAUUAGGUUGUUGGUAAUUUAAAAGCUUACCAAGCCUACGAUCUUUAGUUGGUCUGAGAGGAUGAUCAACCACACUGGAACUGAAACAAGGUCCAGGCUGACACGUCGGCCAGCAGUGAGGAAUAUUGGACAAUGAACGAAAGUUUGAUCCAGCAAUACUAACUGAGUGAUGACGGCUUAUUUAAGUUGUAAAACUCUUUAAUUAAAGAAGAUAAUGACACUAUUUAAUUGAAUUUAGUCCUGGCUAAUACUCGUGCCAGCAGCCGCGGUAAUACGGGAAGGGCAAGCGUUAUCCGGCAUGAUUGGGCGUAAAGAGUCCGUAGACGGUAAAGUAAGUUUUUUGUUAAAUUUUAAGACUUAAUCUUAACACAGCAAUUAAUACUGCUUUACUUUGAGUUUAAUACAGAAAAGUAGAAUUUUAUAUGAUAGGGGUGAAAUCUGUAGAUAUAUAAAGGAAUGCCAAUAGCGAAGGCAACUUUUUAGUAUAAACUGACGUUGAGGGACGAAAGUGUGGGUAGCAAACAGGAUUAGAGACCCUGGUAGUCCACACCGUAAAUUCUGAGUGCUGUAGUUUAAUUGUAACAUUUACAUGUUAUUUAGAUUUUCAAGCUAACGCAAUAAGCACUCCGCCUGAAGAGU